AGAACGAACGCUGGCGGCAUGCCUAACACAUGCAAGUCGAACGUGAUCCAGGCUUCGGCCUGGUGAAAGUGGCAGACGGGUGAGUAACGCGUGGGAACCUGCCCUGUGGUAGGGAAUAACCGUGGGAAACUGCGGCUAAUACCCUAUGAGUCCUUCGGGAGAAAGAUUUAUCGCCAUAGGAGGGGCCCGCGUCGGAUUAGGUAGUUGGUGGGGUAACGGCCUACCAAGCCUUCGAUCCGUAGCUGGUCUGAGAGGAUGAUCAGCCACACUGGGACUGAGAUACGGCCCAGACUCCUACGGGAGGCAGCAGUGGGAAUAUUGGACAAUGGGGGCAACCCUGAUCCAGCAAUGCCGCGUGGAUGAUGAAGGCCUUCGGGUUGUAAAGUCCUUUCGGCGGGGAAGAUGAUGACGGUACCCGCAGAAGAAGCCCGGCUAACUCGUGCCAGCAGCCGC
rnacentral:rRNA from 1 species